GAGGAAUAUUGGUCAAUGGGCGCGAGCCUGAACCAGCCAAGUAGCGUGAAGGAUGACUGCCCUAUGGGUUGUAAACUUCUUUUAUAAGGGAAUAAAGUGAGGCACGUGUGCCUUAUUGUAUGUACCUUAGGAAUAAGCAUCGGCUAACUCCGUGCCAGCAGCCGCGGUAAUACGGAGGGUGCAAGCGUUAAUCGGAAUUACUGGGCGUAAAGCGCACGUAGGCUGCUUUGUAAGUCAGGGGUGAAAUCCCACGGCUCAACCGUGGAACUGCCUUUGAUACUGCUUAGCUUGAAUCCGGGAGAGGGUGGCGGAAUUCCAGGUGUAGGAGUGAAAUCCGUAGAUAUCUGGAGGAACAUCAGUGGCGAAGGCGGCCACCUGGACCGGUAUUGACGCUGAGGUGCGAAAGCGUGGGGAGCAAACA
rnacentral:rRNA from 1 species